GACGAACGCUGGCGGCGUGCUUAACACAUGCAAGUCGAACGAAAAGGCCCUGCUUUUGUGGGUUGCUCGAGUGGCGAACGGGUGAGUAACACGUGAGUAACCCGUACCUGACUUUGGGAUAACUUCAGGAAACUGGGGCUAAUACCGGAUAGGAGCUUUCGCUGCAUGGUGGGGGAUGGAAAGUUUCGGCGGUUGGGGAUAGACUCGCGGCUUAUCAGCUUGUUGGUGGGGUAGUGGCUUACCAAGGCUUUGACGGGUAGCCGACCUGAGAGGGUGACCGGCCACAUUGGGACUGAGGUACGGCCCAGACUCCUACGGGAGGCAGCAGUGGGGAGUAUUGCACAAUGGGCGGAAGCCUGAUGCGGCAACGCCGCGUGCGGAAUAACGUCCUACGGGGUGUAAACCGCUUUCGCCUUUGACGAGGCGUGAGUGACGGUAAUGGGUAAAGAAGCACCGGCUAACUACGUG
rnacentral:rRNA from 1 species